rnacentral:tRNA from 1 species
GCCCGGGUGGCGGAAUGGCAGACGCGGGGGAUUCAAAAUCCCCUGUCCGAGAGGGCGUGCGGGUUCGAGUCCCGCCCCGGGCA